rnacentral:rRNA from 1 species
CCUACGGGUGGCAGCAGUGGGGAAUAUUGGGCAAUGGGCGCAAGCCUGACCCAGCAACGCCGCGUGAAGGAAGAAGGCUUUCGGGUUGUAAACUUCUUUUGUCAGGGAAGAGCAGAAGACGGUACCUGACGAAUAAGCCAUGGCUAACUACGGGCCAGCAGCCGCGGUAAUACGUAGGUGGCAAGCGUUGUCCGGAUUUACUGGGUGUAAAGGGCGUGUAGCCGGGUUGGCAAGUCAGAUGUGAAAUCCUGCGGCUUAACCGCAGAACUGCAUUUGAAACUGUUGAUCUUGAGUACUGGAGAGGCAGGUGGAAUUCCUAGUGUAGCGGUGAAAUGCGUAGAUAUUAGGAGGAACACCAGUGGCGAAGGCGGUCUGCUGGACAGCAACUGACGGUGAGGCGCGAAAGCGUGGGGAGCAAACAGGAUUAGAUACCCUUGUAGUC